AAACACCAGUUCGUCUCAUAGCUUUUUCGUGGAUCUCCGGUAGAUGACAUAUUGCCAACCGCCCAAUAAUCCAAAUCUGUUUAUACUCUGUUUACUCACCUAUACAUCUUCGAAUGGAAUAGUAGGAUAGUGUAUUCAUAGUAAGAUAGGAGGAUUUCGAGAAAGUCGUAUAUAAAAAUAUGCACAAUUAUAUCGCCGAAGAAUUGAGUCACCGCCUAGGACCAAUAUCCCUGCCAUGGCUACUUCUUUUGAUUUUGUUCACAAGAUUUCUUGACACGCGUCCGCCAAUAUUAUCAAAUAUAAUUUGACUACGCUGGUAUGACGGCAUUUCAAUUUAUAUAAUCGAAUUAUUCGAAUACAAUGGAAAGUUUGCCGGAAUUAAACGGCUUUGAUAUUGAGUAUACAAUCAAAUGAAAAGUUUUGUUCUUUUGACAACACGCGGAUGUUUUAAGGUAUCGGAACGCGUGCUAUUAUGAUAUUAUUAAUUAUUAUUGGUUGCAAUAUAUAACGUAAAACCGUAUAGUCUAAACCGAAUGAAUAAUGUACAAAAACCGAUGCAUUCGAUAGUUAUCGACGAAUCGAUAGAAUUUGAUAGGGAUAAUGGCGGACGUACAAAAGGCGAACGGUAUUAUAGUCAGAUCAAACGACGUGAUAUAACGUCGCACGUUUGGCGACAAGAGAUUUGAAUGAGUAAUUAAGCCGAGAAAAUUGGAUUUACGAUGAACCGGGCGCGUUUUCCGUCUGCUGCAGGUGUAAAAAGAGAAGGGAGGGAGCUUUGAUGACGUUUAAUCGCGAUCAAAUAGCAAUACGCGAUAACAACAAUUAAUUAUUGUCGGUCUUGCACAACGAGGUAUAGCAGCCGAUUUU